UCAGAAAAAAAUUUAAACAUUUAUUGGGCAUAAAUAUAUUAUAUAUACGCUACCGAUACAGUUAUGUCUUACAUACAUAGGGUAGUAUUUGCAAAAUCUAUACAUUAAAAUUGAUAUGGCAGUUUCUUUAUAUGAUGCAUAUGAAAUUGUCUAACAUUUACAAUACAUGAAAUGCAUGAUUUUUCUGUAUUUUCAAUUUCGUAGACUAUGACAACAUUGGAAUGUCUUGAUUGUUAAUCGUGAGGUAAAAAUAUGUUUGUUUUUGUUGUUUUGCUUAGAAAAGAUUGAAAUACCUGUGUUUCUCUGUACUUUGUCGAAUCGCCAAUCUCUCGGCCAAAAUCUCAAUAAGAAAAAAACUAAGAAAUUAAAGGAAAACCAGGACCACUCCGAAGGCACAGACAUGAAGUUGCUAAGCAAUAAUCUGUCUGUCAAUCUUGAAAACCCUGCAAAAGGACGUGAAGCAGGGAAGAAAGGUUGGCGGUCUACGAACUAGUAAAAAAAAACAUUACAAAAAAUCCACAAAACAAAAACAAUGAAACAAAUACGAAAAGUAAGGGAGUACCUAGCCCGGGAAACGGUGUCGGGGAUAACCGUUGGGUUGACGUUGGGCUAAUCAAUGCAAUUAUUUACUGGCCUGACUGACUGGUCUAGCACAGGGCCAAUCAUGAUCUCACUUGAGUUGGGUUGGAGGGGUAGGGGGUGUCGGCUAACAGCAAGAUGCUUUAAGGAAGGAGUUUAACAUAUUAUACUCCAACUAGCGUAACGUUGGGUUACUAAACCACUAGGACAUUUCACGCACCCACUUCCUGGCAAUCCCCCCCCAUGCAAUAGAGAUAGACACCAUGAUACACACACGACGAGCACAUCAGAGGUUAAGGCACCGGUCAAGCUAUCCUCCCUCCCACCCUCCCUCCCUCCCUCCCCAACUUUGCCAUCUCCCUCCCACCACAGAGGGGGGAGAGAGAAAAAAAUAUGCAUAUAUAUACAUAAACUAUUCAGGGGUGCACAGAUGCGCCCCAGGGGAAGUUAAAGUCAUGCCAUCAACCCCUGGUGAUGUCACAGUGAUGCCAAUGGUGUUGUAAUAACAAAUGAAUUUACAGAUGUCCUUGGCAGAGUAGUGUAUGGACCCAGGAGAAGGGGGGGGUUGACACCCUAAAUCUCUACCCCGCUGGUAUUUUGACUCUGCAAGACUAAUGCUUUGCUCUUAAAAAAAAAAGUGCUUAAACGCUUAAAUUCUUAUUUCUCAUUACAAUCGUAUACUAUAGCUCUAUAGAUAUCUCUGUAUAUCAUCUCUUAGCAAAAUACUGGAUACAAAAUACUCACUACAGCUAUAACCAGCGCUAGCCUGGAACAAGGAAUCAUCGCUUUCAUUGUCGAAACCCUGCCUGAAAUCAUUGUUUUGAUGCUUUCGCCUUUUAUGCACCUUUCUGCAUAAAAUCAGGUUCUCUUAGGGGGAAAAAGUGAGUAAACAUAAAAAAAAUGGCACAUUUCUUUUUGCAAUACAAAUAAAGGGAAAAGAAUACAAAUGAAAUCAUCCGAUUAAAAAACGGUAAUAUGAUGAAGAAGUGUAAUCACAGAUCCAAGUUAAUGUGUUUUUUUUCCUUUCCUUUUUGAGAAUAAUAACAACAAUAGGUAUAGUCUCGGCGCUGUGCAGCUUACAUGAACAUCACAGAACCCUUUAGACGAUCCAAAAUAAUGCAAAGGAAAUAAAAACGAUAGGAAAAGGCAGCGUCGUCGAGUCGACACCAGAAGCGUGAACUUUGGCAUUAAAACCGUAAAAGAAGAACCAGGAGCUUCAUUAUAACACUACCAGAGAAAGGAAAAUAUAUCAAAAAAACAAAAGCCAAAGGCAGCUACAUAGAUCCCAUAACAUUUUGUUGGCUAGGUCUGCUACAUAUGUCUCUAAAGCAUUACAAUAAAACUGCUUGGCAGUUAUCACGGCCACUGAGAAGAGGAGAUAAAGAACGACGACCGAUGAAGAGUGAGGAAAGUACAAAUAAGAAUGUAGGCAUUUGGUAACAAACUGCGACGCAGAAAUCUUGCUUAUGAUGUUCCCGACAGUUUAAUGGUAAAAUACUUUAAAAGGGUUACUGAGACACGGAAUGCUGGCCUUUUUAUAAACAUACAUCCAUUAAAAAAAUUAGAAAGGAAGAAAAUAAAACGUCGUGCUACAAUAAUUUUUUGUUUUCUAUAUAACUACACUUGUCUCUUAAUCUUUUAAACAAUAAAUAAAUGACGAUUGCACUGUAAUUGGCAUGUAAAGUACUGUAUGCAAAUAUAUAGUAUAAAUAAGAAAAAAGAACUAAGAAAAGACCUAUACCUUAAUUUUUUUUCCCAUCAACUUUGGCAAAAGGUAACUUUUAGCGGAUAGACCACUUUGCUUAGUGACAAAAACAGGAACAAGGCACAGCGUGGAAAGAGGACGAUACAGUGUAAAAAGGACAGAACGGUAAGAGAAAGAGAGUGAGAGAGAGAGAGAGUGAGAGACAGAGAGUGAGAGACAGAGAGUGAGAGAGAGAGAGAGAGAGAGAGAGCGAGAAAGAGAGAGAGACUGCAUCGAUGGUAACGAAGUUCCUAACAUAUAGAUAUCCUUCCUUGUAAGACCACUUCCCUGAGGUGCGUUACAGGUCGCCAAUCACAGUGGGAGGUGGAGAUGUGGGCAGGGCAAGCAACAAGGAACUCCGCCCCCGUACAACCAUCUAGUUCCCUCCUCUUUGUUCUUAGUCCCCCCCGUCCCCUUGGUUUAAAAGUAGACCUCUGGCACAGAAAAUAAACCAGACUCUGGGUAAUGUAGUAUGCUCGGUCGAAGGCUUGUUUGGUUAGUGAACAUUAGCUCUAAUCCCCAGAGCGUACGUAGAGCGGCCACAGACCCUACCACUGCUCUGAUUACUGGUCAAUUAAAUGACCUGUUGCAGAGAGAAGAGAGAAAACAAGAGAAAGAAGGAAAGAGAUGUACAGAGAGAACGGGAGGAAGUGUGUGUGUGUGUGUGUGUGGUAGAGGGUCUCAAGCUAACUGCUAACAUCUAUGGUUGUGGUUUUGCUAACACACAGCAGUAUUAUAGCUGUCUAGCUAGUUAUGGUCUGUGAUGCGCACGAGCCAUACACCAGUAUUUCCAAAAAGAACCUUACAGGUGUGCAAGCUAGGGCUCCGAUGCAGCCAAUCACAUUCCGAGCUUCAAUCCCAAACACCGACCAAAAACGGAUGAAAUCUUAUUUCAUCUUAUUUAAAAACCUUGAACUGAGACCAGUGUUUAAGGGCUGAAUUUCUUUGCUGUUCGCAAACUAAAAUAGACUCCCUCCCUUUCACUUAAG
ensembl:lncRNA